AUUUAUUUAUAUAUAAAUAUAUAUAUAAUGCGCCAUUGUUAUGUCCUAAAUGUGCUAACUGGCAUAUAAUAUUCCUGAGAGCAUGUCGCCAGUUUGUGUUUGUGUGUGCCUAGUUUGCUGGUUAUUGUUAAUUCAAUGAUUGUUUGCGUCCAUAAAUUCGUUUUAAGUCCUCAUAUUUGUUAAUGCCUUCUGGCAAUGUCCACAAAACAUUGCAUUUGUACCGCUUGUUAUCCGAAUCUCCUAUACGAAUAAUAAAUUGUAACUAAAACACAGUGAUAUGUUUUAAAUUGUAGACAAUUCAGAGUAUAUGGCAUUUUAUGAAAGAUUUAAAUUACUUGAUGUAGUUUAAAUGCACUUUAACUCAAUCAAUGUUGACAAUUAACUCAUACUUUUUUGUUACCUGAUCUGCAUACAAUUCAGUCACUCUCCAUCCAACAGUUCUCUUAAAAUAUUUUACUGAAAUAGUUACUGAAACUCUUAUGUGUAUUAUUAUAUGCUGUAGCGUGAUUAGUUCAAUGCCAGAAACAUAUGACUCCAGCAGAAAUGUUAUAUUUUCAUCAGACCACAUGAGGUUUACUUUUGUAUAUAUAAACAAAAGAGUAAUUAUUGCCUUAUGACAAUAGACAUCUGCAUACUGAUUGAUUCUCGUGAGGCAGAUUAUUUACUUAUGUAAACUCGUGUUUUAAAAUUAUUAAACCAGUUGACUGAUGUUGACAAUACACGUGUUUUUUUUUAUUUGUGCGUGACUAACCAUACAUUAUAACAUGACUUGAAAAAAUGAUUUUUUAAAAUCGAAUGUAGUGAAACAUACACAGCGUCAGAGCUUCAUCUAUGAUUUUCAUAGCAGUAAAGGCAAUUAAAAAAAAUGUACGUUAGAUCUUUAUAUAUCCUUGUAUAAAAUAGAACGCAUGUUUGCUUACUCAACAAAAUAGAGGCACAAAUCAAGUCGUAAACUUUCUAAAUGCACGGUCAAAUCUUUGACAAUAAAUGAAGUCUUAUUGUUUUCCUUGUUCACGUUUUCAUAUUUCUCAUCACGGGCUUGGACAAAAACUACGUUGUUGGUGUCCACACUAGGCUUUUUAGCUCACCUGAGCACAAUGUGAUCGCCUUUUGUCCGUCGUGCGGCGUCAACAUUUGCCAUGUUUACACUCUAGAUGCCACAUUUAUUGGUCAGAAGUUUUAAUGUCAUAAAUACGUUACCUGCUAUCUUAUUUGCUUUCUCCUUUCCAAGGGGAAUUAACCCAUCCGGAAUUUGAACUGCGAAUCGGCCAUCUCCAUACCGUAAUACUGGCCAAGUUAAACAAAGUGCAAUGCAACCUAGGCAAAAACCGGUAACCAACCCUCAAUAUUCUUUCCGGAUCAUCCAGGUGUAGACGUGUCUUUUACGGCUCUGAAUUGAAAAUUGUUUUUCGAUAUAUUUCACUUGGUUGAUUGGGGUUUCGAUUAGAUAAAUUGUGUUAUUUAUCUUUUUACUUCUCAUUCGGAAUAUUUUAUGUGGAUUUUAUGGACUUUUGUUUCAGUUGUAAAGGUAAGCCAUGCUUGCUUUUAUUGAACAAUGGUUCAUUUCUACCCUGGGUGUUUUAAGGCGCGAAAGAGCACGUACAAAACGUUUUCUUCUAAUGCGUGAAACUUGUUUUCAGCUUUGCUGCGUUUUUGGUACAUGUUCAUGUACAUGAGCACGUGUAUAUCGUGAUCUUCGUCAAUACGCAAUAUUAUGUAUCCCGGAAAAAGCAACUUUUUGGAAAAACCCACUAAUCUGCUGGUACAAAUAAACAUGACCCAUUUAUAAUCCUUUCAAAAUCACACACCGUAUCAACCGUUAUAAUUUAAAGUAAGCUAUCAUUGGUUGAUUUAAUGGACCAGCGUUGUUUGUACCGGGGUGAUUAGUGGGUUUUUCUAAACUCGUGCUUUUCCGGGAUAUAUCUAUUGAGAAAAUUUGUACAGUGUAAAUAUUCUCCUAACGUGUUACGAGAUCGUGCAAAGCGUGUUCUUCUAAUUCAUUGACAGAUUGUUUAUCAUUUGCCAUUGCGUGCAAUAAUGAUUUUACGUUCCAUAUGACAAUCUAAUUGAUGGUCAUUUUAUUAUGCUCCCCCAAAAAAAAUUUGAAGGGGAGCAUAUAGUCGCCGCUUCGUCUGUCCGUGUGUGUGUCCGCCCGUCCGUGUACAAUUUUUGUCCGGGCUAUUUCUCAGCAAUUAAUGACCGCAAUUCAAUAAAAAUUUAUGGGAAGCUUCACUACCAACAGGAGAUGUGCAUAUUAUCAGCCGGUUCUGGUCGGAUGAUUUUUCACAGAGUUAUGGCCGUUUGAAAUUUUCUAUAAACUUUACAUAUAGUGCAAUUCUUGUCCCCCCAACUACUGACUGGAAUUCUAUGAAGCUUUAUAGGAAGCUUAACUACCUUGAGGAGAUGCGCAUGUUAUGUGUGGGUUCUGGUUAGAUGAUUUAUGUAGAGAGUUAUGGCCCUUUGAAAUUUUUAAGUUGUUUAACCAUCCAUCGUAUUAUUUUGUCCAAAGUUAUGCCCCUCAAGACGUUUCCUUUUAUCUGAAUAUAUAGUGCAAUAUCGUGACAAAAAAAAACUUUGGGGAGCAUCACCCGUCUCCGACGGUUUCUUGUUUUUCAUCUGUUUUGAAUUAAACGUUUGUUUAGUUUAUGAUCUACGGCAGUGGUAUUAUACGUACAAUUGACUUUCUCUUUUACAAUCAUAACUUAGAGAAUGUUAAUUAUUUUCAUUAUGGACAAAUAAUGAUUUUAUGUGCCAUAUGAUAAUCUGCUCUGUCACCAGUUUAUUGUUGAAUAUGUUUCGUUCUUGUUUUUCAUAUAAUCGACUAAAUGAUGGUCGAAGAUACAAGAGUUGAUAAAUACCCGGUGACUUGUCAGAUCAUGGAUGACUUAUUUCAUGUAUAAAUUGUUGAAACUUUAAUUGUUUCAGCUUUGCCGGGUUUUUGUACGCACUCAUGCACUUGAACACGUGCUUUUCGUGUUUCUUCUUCAAUAAAUAAUUGAGAGAAUCUUUAUUGUUUGCAUUGUGUACAUAUAUUGAAUUUAACAUUAUAUUUCACAAUCUGGUUUAUGACCAUGUUAUAGUAUGUUUGUAUUUUCUUUCCUUUUUCUUGUUUUAGAAUUAAAGAAAAUGAAUUUACAAACACGAGGUUUAUGACAUGUAGUCGUGAACGAGCACGUGCAAAGCGUGUUAUUCUACAUUAAUAAAAUGACAAUCUAGUUGAUGGUCUUUUAAUUGUUUUGAAUUAAACUUUGGUUUAAUUUAUGUUCAACGGCAGUGUGUAUUAUACAUACAAUUGAUGUUAUCUUUUACAAUAGUAAUUAAGAUAAUAUUAUUUAAUUGUAUUAUAGGCAAAUAAUUAAUUAAUGUGCCUUAUGACAAUCUGGUCUAGGACCAGUUAAUUGUUUUUUUGUCCCCCACUAUAGUAGUGGGGGACAUAUUGUUUUUGCCCAGUCUGUUGGUUGGUUGGUCUGUUGGUUGGUUUGCGCCAACUUUAACAUUUGCAAUAACUUUUGCAAUAUUGAAGAUAGCAACUUGAUAUUUGGCAUGCAUAUGUAUCUCAUGGAGCUGCACACUUUGAGUGGUGAAAGGUCAAUGUCAAGGUCAUCCUUCAAGGUCAAAGGUAAAAUAUAUGGGUCAAAAUCGCUAAUUUAAUGUACACUUUUGCAGUAUUUCAAUAUUCAAGAUAGCAACUUGAUAUUUGGCAUGCACGUGUAUCUCAUGGAGCUGCACAUUUUGAGUGGUGAAAGGUCAAGGUCAUCCUUCAAGGUCAGAGGUCAAAUAUAUGUGGCCCAAAUCGCUUAUUUUAUGAAUACUUUUGCAAUAUUGAAGAUAGCAACUUGAUAUUUGGCAUGCAUGUGUAUCUCAUGGAGCUGCACAUUUUGAGUGGUGAAAGGUCAAGGUCAUCCUUCAAGGUCAAAUAUAUGGGUCAAAAUUGCUCAUGUAAUGUCACUUCAGCAAUAUUGAAGCUAGCAAUUUUUUAUUUGAAAUGCAUGUGUAUCUCAUGGAGCUGCACAUUUUGAGUGGUGAAGGGUCAAGGUCAAGGUCAUCCUUCAAGGUCAAACGUCAUAUAGGGGGACAUUGUGUUUCACAAACACAUCUUGUUUGUUUUUGUUUGUUUUUUGUUUUUUUAUGUGCAUAUAUUUUAUUUUUGCCAUGUAGUAAUACAUACAUUCAUAUUCGAUUCAUAUAAAAAUCGUGCAACAUACAUAGCAACUCAUAAGCAUGUACAUGUAGGGUGUGUAUAGACAUAGAAGUAGUAAUCCAAAAUAUGCAUACAACACAUGUUACAAAUUCCAAUUCGGAAAAAAGGAAAGAAAAAGAAAACACUGUAUAUACGUCAUAGAUUAAGGAUUUACAUUAUUGGAUAUUAACAUAGUUUCGAUCAUAUCCCAUUCCUGUUUAACAAUUAACAUAUAUUUUUCUUUCAUUUUUUAAAACAAAACAAAAAAAACAAAGAAAAAACAACAAUAUUGGUUUACUUAUAAAAGUAAAAGUAACACAUUGGUUUACUUAUAAAAGUAGAAAUACACAUGUAUGUCUGCAUAUCUUUUUUCUAUUUAUAAAAUUAUAUGCACAUAAGGAAGAUGAAUUAUUUAAUUGCUGAGUUGCAUUAUGUUUAUUAAAUUUAAAGUGCAGAUUUGACAAAAUGCAGAUGUGAUGAACUAUACAUGUAUUAGGUGUUAUGAUUAAUAAAGUAGUUGCAGGGGAUGUCUGAAAAUGUUUUGACUAAUGACCAGUUUUUCGAUUCUUCUUCUGUUUAUAUUGUAGCUUUGUAUAUUUCAAAUGUUUGCUUCAUGCUAUUUACAAGUCCAAUUUUUGAGGGGUUUCUAUUUUUCUUUUGACAAUCAAAAAUGUACCGUUUAAUUUCAAGGCAUACAAUGUUAAUAUCAGUCGUUUUGGAAUUCGUAAUCCCAAGUAUUAGAACCUGACAUGUCAGCUGAGUAAGUAAGCUAGGUCUACUUCUCUUGAUGAUUUCGACAGCAAAUUUAACAAUUUCUUGGGUGUAGGGGCAGUACCAGAACAAGUGUGUUAUGUUUUCUAUUUCAUUUUUACAGAAUGUACAUAGAUAAUUGGCAACAAUUUUCAUCUUGAACAUAGUAGAUUUCGUUCCCAAGAUUCUGUGGAUUAUUCUACACUGUAACCAUCUAAUAUAUGUAUCCCUAGUUAAAUUGAAGACCAGUGUAUAUACAUUUUCCAAUCUAUAUUUACAAAUUCUGAAUUCCAUUUUGUUUGACUAAAGGAAUAUCACUAUUUUGAAUUAAUAUUUUAUAAAUAUGUUUGUAUUCUUUAGGACUGGUUACUAUUUUCUUUAUAUAAGUCGGCAAUAUAGGUCCUUGGGUUUUAUUGUUUAAAUUUGAUAUGCUAUGACAAUUUCCAAUGUAUCUUCUUAUAAUGCUGGUUAAUCCUUGGUAUAAUAGGAAAUUAACAUGUGUUCCUAGAAGUAAUUCCAGAGAUUAUUUGGAAAUAAAACAAUCACUUUCUGUCAUAAUGUCUCUAACUAAACGGAUACCUCUUUCAUAUAAACUUUUCAUAUAAAUAUGACUGUUGUUCAGUUUAAAAUUAUGGUUAUAAAAUAGUGGCAUGUCCAGAAUAUCAUCACUUUUUAUUAUUGGCUGCUUUUCAAUAUACAAUAUAUAUGUUUUCAAUACAUCAAGCCUAAAUUUAUUUUUAAGCUGUAAACAUACUUUCUCGGCGUACAAUUUACCAGUGUUAAAUUUUUUUUUUAAAUCUAUUAUCGAUUUAACAAGUGUUUAACAAUUUCCUUCGCUUGACACUAAUCUCUUUAGCCAUGUUAGUUUCAUGUAUUUCUCAAAUGAACAUAUAUCAAUCAUAUUUAAACCGCCUUCAUUAUACUCUUUAACAACAGCAGUGGCUUUUAUUUUGCUUGGUCCUGCCCAAAUAAAGUCGUAAAAGAUUUGAUUUAAAUGUUUCAUGGUUUCUAUUUUUGGUGUUGGUAGAGAUAUAAAUACAUGUGUAAGUAAAGGUAAAAGUAA